AGAGUUUGAUCCUGGCUCAGAACGAACGCUGGCGGCGUGGAUAAGACAUGCAAGUCGAACGAGACUUUUCGUUGUAGCAAUACGAUGGAAAGUUUAGUGGCGAACGGGUGCUUAACACGUGGGCAACCUGCCAUGAAGUGGGGGAUAGCUCGCCGAAAGGCGAAUUAAUACCGCAUGUGAUUAGAGAGGACAUCCUUUCAAAAUUAAAGUCGGGGCAACCUGACGCUUCUUGUGGGGCCCGCGGCCUAUCAGCUAGUUGGUGAGGUAACGGCUCACCAAGGCUUUGACGGGUAGCUGGUCUGAGAGGACGACCAGCCACACUGGGACUGAGACACGGCCCAGACACCUACGGGUGGCAGCAGUCGAGAAUUUUUGACAAUGGGGGAAACCCUGAUCGAGCGACGCCGCGUGGAGGAUGAAGGUCUUCGGAUUGUAAACUCCUGUCAUUUGGGAACAAGGUGCACACGUUAACUGCGUGCGUAUUGAUAGUACCAGAAGAGGAAGAGACGGCUAACUCUGUGCCAGCAGCCGCGGUAAUACAGAGGUCUCAAGCGUUGUUCGGAUUCAUUGGGCGUAAAGGGUGCGUAGGCGGCGCGGCAAGUCGGGUGUGAAAUCUCGGAGCUUAACUCCGAAACUGCAUUCGAUACUGCCGUGCUUGAGGACUGGAGAGGAGACUGGAAUUUACGGUGUAGCGGUGAAAUGCGUAGAUAUCGUAAGGAAGACCAGUGGCGAAGGCGGGUCUCUGGACAGUUCCUGACGCUGAGGCACGAAGGUCAGGGGAGCAAACGGGAUUAGAUACCCUAGUAGUCC
rnacentral:rRNA from 1 species